UAAACAGGCAGAUACAACAUUGUCUUUGUGUAUCUCGAUUCCCUUGCUGUCAAAUUAGAAAAGGCAAGCCCUGUAAUCAAACGAAAGCGUUUUGAAAAGUAUUCCUUCGUGAAACACUGCAGGCAGCUGAUGAGGAAAUACAUUUGAUAUUUCACGGUUUUCGGCGAAGUCUUGAACCACAACUUGAAAUAAAGGGAUUAAAAUAAAAAACACCAAACGUUCACUGAACUGUGCAAAGAGACAAAGACUACGUCUGCCUAAUUAGAGAGUGUUUACCGAGACAUUUUAAUUUUUGUUUAAAAAAUACUCUAAAGUUGACGAGGAGCCGGGGGCAGUGGCCCGCUCCACGCCUCCGGCGCCAGCAGCGUUUGCUGCAGGGGUCUCGCACGGAGCCGCCGGCAGAGGGAGGUGGGAUGCGCCUGUCCUGGAGCCCGGACACUCGCUGAUGCCCGAGGACCUUUCAUUUGCUACAGAAGCUCUCGUAUCAUGUGUCCUGUUGUCCUGAUACCCACUGCUUUGUUUGGGUCUGACUUCUUCACAGAGUUCUGAGGAUAUUUUCUGGUUGCUGAUGAGAGCAGAGAAGAAGAGAGGAUCUUGCACUGAAAGGAAGAAAAACACCACAUAAUCUGCUUCACUCUGAGUUUUGUGUUUGGAAAAUAAGGACGUGGAAGAGGUCCAUCUUUGCUGCCAUUUGGAUACAAUUACAAGAAAAAUUAAAAAGGGGCAGAAGACCCCAGAGAAGACUGAAGACCCUUUCCCAAGCCCUCACAGGACAAGUGCUGCUGAGGCUGGAGCAAACCUUACUCUGCUG
rnacentral:lncRNA from 1 species